rnacentral:rRNA from 1 species
AGGGCACCACCAGGAGUGGAGCCUGCGGCUUAAUUUGACUCAACACGGGAAAACUUACCUGGUCCUGACACUAGAAGGAUUGACAGAUUGAUAGCUCUUUCUUGAUUUGGUGGAUGGUGGUGCAUGGCCGUUCUUAGUUGGUGGAGUGAUUUGUCUGGUUAAUUCCGAUAACGAACGAGACUCUAGCCUAUUAAAUAACACGCAGAAUCUUGUUUUCUGCGGUGUUUCUUAAUGGGAUCAAGUGUGUUUAACGCUUUGAAACAGAGCAAUAACAGGUCUGUGAUGCCCUUAGAUGUUCGGGGCUGCACGCGCGCUACAUUGAAAGACAAAAUGAGCCUUCUAGUUUUUAAUAAAGCUAGUAAUCUUUGAAUGUUUUUCUUAAUGGGGAUAGGGGAUUGCAAUUGUGCUCCUUGAACGAGGAAUUCCCAGUAAGUGCUAAUCAUUAGUUAGUACUGAUUACGUCCCUGCCCUUUGUACACACCGCCCGUCGCUACUACCGAUUGAAUGGUUUAGUGAGAU